rnacentral:rRNA from 1 species
UACAGAGGUCUCAAGCGUUGUUCGGAUUCAUUGGGCGUAAAGGGUGCGUAGGUGGCGCCGUAAGUCAGGUGUGAAAUUUCGGAGCUUAACUCCGAAACUGCAUUUGAUACUGCGGUGCUUGAGGACUGGAGAGGAGACUGGAAUUCACGGUGUAGCAGUGAAAUGCGUAGAUAUCGUGAGGAAGACCAGUGGCGAAGGCGGGUCUCUGGACAGUGCCUGACACUGAGGCACGAAGGCCAGGGGAGCAAACGGG